CUACGGGGCGCUCCAGUCGAGAAUCUUGGACAAUGGACGAAAGUCUGAUCCAGCGACGCCGCGUGAUCGAAGAAGCUUCUAGGAGUGUAAAGAUCUUUUAUAGGGGAACAAGUACGCUGAGUGUACCCUAUGAAUAAGGGGCGCCUAAUCACGUGCCAGAAGGCUCGGUUAGACGUGAGCCCCAAGCGUUGUCCGGAUUUAUUGGGCGUAAAGAGUCUUAAGGCGGUAUAGUAAGUCUGAGGUUAAAACUUUGGAGCUCAACUUCAAUGAUGCUUCAGAAACUACUAAACUAGAGGAUGUUAGAGGUCAGCGGAACCUACGGUGUAGGGGUGGAAUCCAUUGAUAUCGUAGGGAACACCAAAAGCGAAGGCAGCUGACUGGGGCAAUCCUGACGCUGAUUGACGAAAGCUAGGGUAGCGAAUGGGAUUAGAUACCCGCGUAGUC
rnacentral:rRNA from 1 species